GGUGUUACUGCGAAGGGGGGACGGAGAAGGCUAUGUUGGCCGGGCGACGGUUGUCCCGGUUUAAGCGUGUAGGCUGGUUUUCCAGGCAAAUCCGGAAAAUCAAGGCUGAGGCGUGAUGACGAGGCACUACGGUGCUGAAGCAACAAAUGCCCUGCUUCCAGGAAAAGCCUCUAAGCAUCAGGUAACAUCAAAUCGUACCCCAAACCGACACAGGUGGUCAGGUAGAGAAUACCAAGGCGCUUGAGAGAACUCGGGUGAAGGAACUAGGCAAAAUGGUGCCGUAACUUCGGGAGAAGGCACGCUGAUAUGUAGGUGAAGUCCCUCGCGGAUGGAGCUGAAAUCAGUCGAAGAUACCAGCUGGCUGCAACUGUUUAUUAAAAACACAGCACUGUGCAAACACGAAAGUGGACGUAUACGGUGUGACGCCUGCCCGGUGCCGGAAGGUUAAUUGAUGGGGUUAGCGCAAGCGAAGCUCUUGAUCGAAGCCCCGGUAAACGGCGGCCGUAACUAUAACGGUCCUAAGGUAGCGAAAUUCCUUGUCGGGUAAGUUCCGACCUGCACGAAUGGCGUAAUGAUGGCCAGGCUGUCUCCACCCGAGACUCAGUGAAAUUGAACUCGCUGUGAAGAUGCAGUGUACCCGCGGCAAGACGGAAAGACCCCGUGAACCUUUACUAUAGCUUGACACUGAACAUUGAGCCUUGAUGUGUAGGAUAGGUGGGAGGCUUUGAAGUGUGGACGCCAGUCUGCAUGGAGCCGACCUUGAAAUACCACCCUUUAAUGUUUGAUGUUCUAACGUUGACCCGUAAUCCGGGUUGCGGACAGUGUCUGGUGGGUAGUUUGACUGGGGCGGUCUCCUCCUAAAGAGUAACGGAGGAGCACGAAGGUUGGCUAAUCCUGGUCGGACAUCAGGAGGUUAGUGCAAUGGCAUAAGCCAGCUUGACUGCGAGCGUGACGGCGCGAGCAGGUGCGAAAGCAGGUCAUAGUGAUCCGGUGGUUCUGAAUGGAAGGGCCAUCGCUCAACGGAUAAAAGGUACUCCGGGGAUAACAGGCUGAUACCGCCCAAGAGUUCAUAUCGACGGCGGUGUUUGGCACCUCGAUGUCGGCUCAUCACAUCCUGGGGCUGAAGUAGGUCCCAAGGGUAUGGCUGUUCGCCAUUUAAAGUGGUACGCGAGCUGGGUUUAGAACGUCGUGAGACAGUUCGGUCCCUA
rnacentral:rRNA from 1 species